AUCUAGCCGAUGAGUCCCAAAUAGGAUGAAACGCGCAUCUUGUAU
rnacentral:hammerhead_ribozyme from 1 species